GACCACGUAGCUCAGUUGGCAGAGCAUUGGGUUAGGUAUUCCAAAGGUCGUAGGUUCGAUUCCCACCGUGGUCG
rnacentral:tRNA from 1 species